AUUGAACGCUGGCGGCAGGCCUAACACAUGCAAGUCGAGCGAGCGGCGGAAGGGUGAGUAAUGUAUGGGGAUCUGAGCGGUAGAGGGGGAUAACUAAUGGGCACGGAGGCUAAUACCGCAUACUAUCGGCUGAACCCAUAUGGGAUUAGCUAGUAGGUGGGGUAAAGGCUCACCAAGGAGACGAUCUCUAGCUGGUCUGAGAGGAUGAUCAGCCACACUGGGACUGAGACACGGCCCAGACUCCUACGGGAGGCAGCAGUGGGGAAUAUUGCACAAUGGGCGCAAGCCUGAUGCAGCCAUGCCGCGUGUAUGAAGAAGGCCUUAGGGUUGUAAAGUACUUUCAGCGGGGAGGCGUUACCCGCAGAAGAAGCACCGGCUAACUCCGUGCCAGCAGCCGCGGUAAUAC
rnacentral:rRNA from 1 species